UACGUAGGGUGCGAGCGUUAAUCGGAAUUACUGGGCGUAAAGCGUGCGCAGGCGGUUCGUUGUGUCGGCGGUGAAAGCCCCGGGCUCAACCUGGGAAUGGCCGUUGAAACUGGCGAACUGGAGUGUGGCAGAGGGGGGUGGAAUUCCGCGUGUAGCAGUGAAAUGCGUAGAGAUGCGGAGGAACACCGAUGGCGAAGGCGGCUUUCUGGUCUGUAACUGACGCUGAGGCGCGAAAGCGUGGGGAGCAAACAGG
rnacentral:rRNA from 1 species